rnacentral:rRNA from 1 species
AGUGAACGCUGGCGGUAGGCCUAACACAUGCAAGUCGAACGGCAGCACAGUAAGAGUUUGCUCUUACGGGAGGCGAGUGGCGGACGGGUGAGGUAUACAUCGGACUCUACUUUUUCGUGGGGGAUCACGUAGGGACACUUACGCUAAUACCGCAUACGACCUACGGGUGAAAGCAGGGGAUCUUCGGACCUUGCGCGAUUGAAUGAGCAGAUGUCGGAUUAGCUAGUUGGCGGGGUAAAGGCCCACCAAGGCGACGAUCCGUAGCUGGUCUGAGAGGAUGAUCAGCCACACUGGAACUGAGACACGGUCCAGACUCCUACGGGAGGCAGCAGUGGGGAAUAUUGGACAAUGGGCGCAAGCCUGAUCCAGCCAUGCCGCGUGGGUGAAGAAGGCCUUCGGGUUGUAAAGCCCUUUUGUUGGGAAAGAAAAGCAGCAGGUUAAUACCCCGCUGUUCUGACGGUACCCAAAGAAUAAGCACCGGCUAACUUCGUG